rnacentral:rRNA from 1 species
GGGUUGUGAGGUUAAGCGACUAAGCGUACACGGUGGAUGCCCUGGCAGUCAGAGGCGAUGAAGGACGUGCUAAUCUGCGAUAAGCGUCGGUAAGGUGAUAUGAACCGUUAUAACCGGCGAUUUCCGAAUGGGGAAACCCAGUGUGUUUCGACACACUAUCAUUAACUGAAUCCAUAGGUUAAUGAGGCGAACCGGGGGAACUGAAACAUCUAAGUACCCCGAGGAAAAGAAAUCAACCGAGAUUCCCCCAGUAGCGGCGAGCGAACGGGGAGGAGCCCAGAGUCUGAAUCAGUGUGUGUGUUAGUGGAAGCGUCUGGAAAGGCGCGCGAUACAGGGUGACAGCCCCGUACACAAAAAUGCACAUAUUGUGAGCUCGAUGAGUAGGGCGGGACACGUGGUAUCCUGUCUGAAUAUGGGGGGACCAUCCUCCAAGGCUAAAUACUCCUGACUGACCGAUAGUGAACCAGUACCGUGAGGGAAAGGCGAAAAGAACCCCGGCGAGGGGAGUGAAAAAGAACCUGAAACCGUGUACGUACAAGCAGUGGGAGCCUCUUUUAUGGGGUGACUGCGUACCUUUUGUAUAAUGGGUCAGCGACUUAUAUUCUGUAGCAAGGUUAACCGAAUAGGGGAGCCGAAGGGAAACCGAGUCUUAACUGGGCGUUAAGUUGCAGGGUAUAGACCCGAAACCCGGUGAUCUAGCCAUGGGCAGGUUGAAGGUUGGGUAACACUAACUGGAGGACCGAACCGACUAAUGUUGAAAAAUUAGCGGAUGACUUGUGGCUGGGGGUGAAAGGCCAAUCAAACCGGGAGAUAGCUGGUUCUCCCCGAAAGCUAUUUAGGUAGCGCCUCGUGAAUUCAUCUCCGGGGGUAGAGCACUGUUUCGGCAAGGGGGUCAUCCCGACUUACCAACCCGAUGCAAACUGCGAAUACCGGAGAAUGUUAUCACGGGAGACACACGGCGGGUGCUAACGUCCGUCGUGAAGAGGGAAACAACCCAGACCGCCAGCUAAGGUCCCAAAGUCAUGGUUAAGUGGGAAACGAUGUGGGAAGGCCCAGACAGCCAGGAUGUUGGCUUAGAAGCAGCCAUCAUUUAAAGAAAGCGUAAUAGCUCACUGGUCGAGUCGGCCUGCGCGGAAGAUGUAACGGGGCUAAACCAUGCACCGAAGCUGCGGCAGCGACGCUUAUGCGUUGUUGGGUAGGGGAGCGUUCUGUAAGCCUGUGAAGGUGUGCUGUGAGGCAUGCUGGAGGUAUCAGAAGUGCGAAUGCUGACAUAAGUAACGAUAAAGCGGGUGAAAAGCCCGCUCGCCGGAAGACCAAGGGUUCCUGUCCAACGUUAAUCGGGGCAGGGUGAGUCGACCCCUAAGGCGAGGCCGAAAGGCGUAGUCGAUGGGAAACAGGUUAAUAUUCCUGUACUUGGUGUUACUGCGAAGGGGGGACGGAGAAGGCUAUGUUGGCCGGGCGACGGUUGUCCCGGUUUAAGCGUGUAGGCUGGUUUUCCAGGCAAAUCCGGAAAAUCAAGGCUGAGGCGUGAUGACGAGGCACUACGGUGCUGAAGCAACAAAUGCCCUGCUUCCAGGAAAAGCCUCUAAGCAUCAGGUAACAUCAAAUCGUACCCCAAACCGACACAGGUGGUCAGGUAGAGAAUACCAAGGCGCUUGAGAGAACUCGGGUGAAGGAACUAGGCAAAAUGGUGCCGUAACUUCGGGAGAAGGCACGCUGAUAUGUAGGUGAAGUCCCUUGCGGAUGGAGCUGAAAUCAGUCGAAGAUACCAGCUGGCUGCAACUGUUUAUUAAAAACACAGCACUGUGCAAACACGAAAGUGGACGUAUACGGUGUGACGCCUGCCCGGUGCCGGAAGGUUAAUUGAUGGGGUCAGCGCAAGCGAAGCUCUUGAUCGAAGCCCCGGUAAACGGCGGCCGUAACUAUAACGGUCCUAAGGUAGCGAAAUUCCUUGUCGGGUAAGUUCCGACCUGCACGAAUGGCGUAAUGAUGGCCAGGCUGUCUCCACCCGAGACUCAGUGAAAUUGAACUCGCUGUGAAGAUGCAGUGUACCCGCGGCAAGACGGAAAGACCCCGUGAACCUUUACUAUAGCUUGACACUGAACAUUGAGCCUUGAUGUGUAGGAUAGGUGGGAGGCUUUGAAGUGUGGACGCCAGUCUGCAUGGAGCCGACCUUGAAAUACCACCCUUUAAUGUUUGAUGUUCUAACGUUGACCCGUAAUCCGGGUUGCGGACAGUGUCUGGUGGGUAGUUUGACUGGGGCGGUCUCCUCCUAAAGAGUAACGGAGGAGCACGAAGGUUGGCUAAUCCUGGUCGGACAUCAGGAGGUUAGUGCAAUGGCAUAAGCCAGCUUGACUGCGAGCGUGACGGCGCGAGCAGGUGCGAAAGCAGGUCAUAGUGAUCCGGUGGUUCUGAAUGGAAGGGCCAUCGCUCAACGGAUAAAAGGUACUCCGGGGAUAACAGGCUGAUACCGCCCAAGAGUUCAUAUCGACGGCGGUGUUUGGCACCUCGAUGUCGGCUCAUCACAUCCUGGGGCUGAAGUAGGUCCCAAGGGUAUGGCUGUUCGCCAUUUAAAGUGGUACGCGAGCUGGGUUUAGAACGUCGUGAGACAGUUCGGUCCCUAUCUGCCGUGGGCGCUGGAGAACUGAGGGGGGCUGCUCCUAGUACGAGAGGACCGGAGUGGACGCAUCACUGGUGUUCGGGUUGUCAUGCCAAUGGCACUGCCCGGUAGCUAAAUGCGGAAGAGAUAAGUGCUGAAAGCAUCUAAGCACGAAACUUGCCCCGAGAUGAGUUCUCCCUAACCCUUUAAGGGUCCUGAAGGAACGUUGAAGACGACGACGUUGAUAGGCCGGGUGUGUAAGCGCAGCGAUGCGUUGAGCUAACCGGUACUAAUGAACCGUGAGGCUUAACCUUACAACGCCGAAGCUGUU